rnacentral:lncRNA from 1 species
UGCAUGGUCCUCCCUUCUCCAUUUACCCACAGAGGCCCCAGGCCCAGGUGUGGGUGUAUCCUAGGGGAUUAGGUGGGCCAGCCCUGCUCAGCAGAGCAGAGGGCCUCACCUGGUGCUCUCACGUGGAAGCAGGUCAGGACCCUCACCCGUGGUACCAGGGCCACGGAGCUGGCUGAGCACAUGGGGUCACCCGCACAGGCUCCGGCGCUCUCACCUGGGCUUCCAGGUGGAUGUUCCCAUGGCUGGACAAGGUUCAAACAUGGUGCCCAGGCCCGUGCUGCCUCCCGCUGAGACUACAUCAUCUCCACAGGCCUCGUGGUCACCUGCAUCCUGGUGGUGGGCAGGAAAGCAGCCCAGGAGGGCA